UUCUAUUAGACUUUAAUUUAUAGUAAGAUCUGCUCAAUGACAAUUAAAUAGCCGCAUCUGUGCUAAGGUAGCAUAAUCACUUGUCUUUUAAAUGAGGACUAGAACAAAAGAUUUAACAUUUUAAUUUAUUUCUAUAAUAUUAAUUUUAAACUUAUUUUAAAUGUAAAAAAACAUUUAUACAAAAGAAAGACGACAAGACCCUAUUGAACUUUACUUCAGUUUUACUGGGGCAGUAAAUUAAUUAUUAUUUUAAUAUAAUUUUAUAAAUAAAUAUCCAAUCUAUUUGAUUAAACAAGUUACCAUAGGGAUAACAGCGUAAUAAAAUUUAAGAGACCUUAUCUAAAAAUUAGAUUGCGACCUCGAUGUUGAAUAUUAUCCUAAUAUAAGCAAAAGUUUAUAAAGGAAGUCUGUUCGACUUUUAAAAAAUUACA
rnacentral:rRNA from 1 species